rnacentral:rRNA from 1 species
AUACGGAGGGUGCAAGCGUUAUCCGGAUUUAUUGGGUUUAAAGGGUCCGUAGGCGGAUCUGUAAGUCAGUGGUGAAAUCUCACAGCUUAACUGUGAAACUGCCAUUGAUACUGCAGGUCUUGAGUAAAUUUGAAGUGGCUGGAAUAAGUAGUGUAGCGGUGAAAUGCAUAGAUAUUACUUAGAACACCAAUUGCGAAGGCAGGUCACUAAGAUUUAACUGACGCUGAUGGACGAAAGCGUGGGGAGCGAACAGGAUUAGAUACCCUGGUAGUCCACGCCGUAAACGAUGCUAACUCGUUUUUGGGGUUUCGGCUUCAGAGACUAAGCGAAAGUGAUAAGUUAGCCACCUGGGGAGUACGUUCGCAAGAAUGAA